rnacentral:rRNA from 1 species
UACGUAGGGGGCAAGCGUUGUCCGGAUUUAUUGGGCGUAAAGAGCGUGUAGGCGGUUUGGUAGGUCCGCUGUGAAAACUCGAGGCUCAACUUCGAGCUGUCGGUGGAAACUGUCUGGCUAGAGUCCGGAAGAGGAGAGUGGAAUUCCUGGUGUAGCGGUGAAAUGCGCAGAUAUCAGGAAGAACACCAAUGGCGAAGGCAGCUCUCUGGGACGGUACUGACGCUGAGACGCGAAAGCGUGGGGAGCGAACAGG